rnacentral:lncRNA from 13 species
AUGGAAAUGUUCUUAUACUUUCCAAAGAUGCUGAAGGGUGUCCCGUGCGUGAAUAUGGACACAUGGCUGGUAGUGUCUCUGUUCGUGUAUGUCCAGUUCUGCUUCAGUUUAGACUAUGAAGGGACCCCUUGGUGCGCCCCCAUCAAGGUGAAGCACGGCAAUGUGAGCUGUCGCAGUCCCGGCGGGGAAUACUAUGGGAACGUGAUGGGAUCGCGCUGUAAGAUCCGCUGUAAGUGGGGUUACGAGAUGCAGCAUGGACACGCAGAGGUGGUGUGUAUGGCCAGCAAACACUGGUCAGGGAGCUACACCUGCAGGGAGAUUCGCUGUCCUAAGCUGCAGAUGCCUGCGAAUGGGGGCUAUACGUGUUCAGACGGAUCCUACCUUAACUCCCGCUGUGAGUUCUUCUGCUCCCCUGGAUACAAUCUGAAGGGGCCCAAUACUGUCACCUGCCAGUNNNNNNNNNNUGUGUGUGUGUGUGUGUGUGUGUGUUAUUUGACUGAGGCUUUUUACAGUGUUAUAUUGAAAGGGAAGCCUCCUGGACCCUUCCCUGAGGGUCUCCAUAAGAUGUCCUACACCGUCUACGACCGCGCCGGGAAUAAGGGCAGCUGCCGCUUUUCUGUCAGAGUACGAGUGCGUCGCUGCAGCCCCAUGACCCCCCCAGACAACGGUUUUAUGAAGUGUGAUAGCGAUGGUAAUAACUAUGGAGCAACCUGUGAGUUCAAGUGUACAGGAGGGUAUGAGCUGCAGGGCAGCGCUGCGAGGGUGUGCCAGUACGGCCUCACCUGGUCUGGCACGGAAACCAACUGUACAGCUAUGAACAUCAACGUGGGGGUGCGUACGGCCUCAGGGCUGCUGGACCAGUUCUAUGAGAAACGACGCCUCCUCAUCAUCUCUGCUCCCACUGCUGCCAAUCAUUACUACAGGUUCCAGAUGACUGACCUACAGCAUGCCCAGUGUGGUCUGGACCUCAGGCAUGUGACAGUGAUUGAGCUGGUGGGGAUUUACCCCGCACAGAUCGGCCGUAUCCGCCACAGACUUAUCCCUCCAGGGCUGGCCUUACAACUCAGGUUACUGCUCCAGAUCUCCCAUAAUAACUUCAACAUGGUGAUGAUUGACAAGCAGGGGAUGGACAGGGAGCGUUACACGUACCCCAUCACCUCCGCCCAGAUCUUCACCACCAUUGACACAUGGCAGGGACGCGUAGAUGAGAUGGUGCAGCAGCAGGAGGCAGGCCACACCUGCCAGUAGUACAACAGCUCAACAACGCCCUCACCCCAAAUAAUCCCCCUGCCCCGAACCAGAAUCAUAUAGAGAGUGGCGCCAGGUUUUACAACUGCUGCCAUGUUAGCGUCUUCAUUCUUGCUGUAAACAAUCACAACAGAGCAGUGUUUUGUGUUUAAUAACAGACAUUUUUAUUUGGGAUAAUUAUGUGUAUCCAAGUGUGUACUGUGUUGUGGUGUCAACAAAUUGCAUAUCUGCUUUCACUGGACAUCUUCACAGGUUUAGAAAACUUUCAGCAUAACGUGGAAGCGUCAAUAUUCACUUAGCAACGGCUAUGGAAGAGAAAGUGCCGCUUUCGUUCAGACAAUGCGCAUUGACCCAACUCUCUCUCUCUCUCUCUCUCUCUCUCUCUCUCUCUCUCUCUCUCUCUCUCUAUAUAUAUAUAUAUAUAUAUAUAUAUAUAUAUAUAUGCCUCUGCCCGCAACUUUCUCUUUACACCCCCACCCCAGUCCUCCCCAUCUCAACAAAGACCCUUCUGUCACUUAAACCCAAUUUACUACUUAAACUAAACUGUCGCUCAAGCUUACUACCUGAACCCAUGACUCCCAUCCUCCACUUCCCCAUAUCAGACCGCAGCUAGUCAACUUGUCCCUCACUGGGAGACUCCCUCAAAUGGUUCAACCCUGCAUUUCCCACCAAUGUAACGCCUUUCAGUACUUAAAGACGUCCUCCAGCGAUGUUUGGAGUUUUACUGUUGGAAACAGUUUCCCCGUCUAUAAAUACAGUAAACACAACUUUUGAGCAAAAUAGUUGUCACACCCUGAUCUGUUUCACCUGUCUUUGUGCUUGUCUCCACCCCCCUCCAGGUGUAGCCCAUCUUCCCCAUUAUUCCCUGUGUAUUUAUACCUGUGUUCUCUGUUUGUCUGUUGCCAGUUCGUCUUGUUUGUCAAGUCAACCAGCGUUUUUGUAUUCAGCUCCUGCUUUUCCCCAGUCUCUCUUUUCUCGUCCUCCUGGUUUUUGACCCCUGCCUGUCCUGACCCUGUAUGGCAACCCGCCUGACCAAUCUGCCUGACCCUGAACCUGCCUGCCGUCCUGUACCUUUGCCCCACCUCUGGAUUACCGACCUCUGCCUGACCUGACCCUGAACCUGCCUGCCGUCCUGUACCUUUGCCCCUGUUGCUGUAAUAAACAUUGUUACUUCGACA